ACGUUCGGGUAAUCGCUGCAAAAUUACUUUGUAAUUUGUAGAGGAAAGUCCAUGCUCGCACGGGCUGUGAUGCCCGUAGUGUUCGUGCCUGGCGAAAAGAUAAGCCAGGGCAGUCGGUAUGUCCGAUUGACGGCUGGGAAAAUACCUAAGUCCUUUAGGAUAUGGUAUGAAUACCUAUAAAAGUGCCACAGUGACGGAGCCUUUCCAGAAAUGGAAAGGGUGGAACGAGGUAAACCCCACGAGCGAGAAACCCAAAUAAUGGUAGGGGCACUUUCUUUCUGGAAACGAACGGGAAGAAGGACAGAUUCUUUGAAUCUGUAGAUAGAUGAUUACCACCUCAGUACGAGACCUUUGGUCGUUUGCAGUACUAUGGUACAGAACAUGGCUUACAGAA
rnacentral:RNase_P_RNA from 2 species